rnacentral:rRNA from 1 species
UACGGGGGGUGCGAGCGUUGUCCGGAAUCACUGGGCGUAAAGGGCGCGUCGGUGGCGUGAUAAGGGUGUGGUGAAAGCCCGGGGCUCAACCCCGGGUCUGCCAUGCCGACUGUCAGGCUCGAGUGCUGUAGGGGCAGGCGGAAUUCCGGGUGUAGCGGUGGAAUGCGUAGAGAUCCGGAGGAAGACCGGUGGCGAAGGCGGCCUGCUGGGCAGUUACUGACACUGAGGCGCGACAGCGUGGGGAGCAAACAGG